rnacentral:rRNA from 1 species
UACUCGGCCGCGGGAUUAGAGUUUGAUCCUGGCUCAGAUUGAACGCUGGCGGCAGGCUUAACACAUGCAAGUCGAGCGGGGGAAGGUAGCUUGCUACUGGACCUAGCGGCGGACGGGUGAGUAAUGCUUAGGAAUCUGCCUAUUAGUGGGGGACAACAUCUCGAAAGGGAUGCUAAUACCGCAUACGUCCUACGGGAGAAAGCAGGGGACCUUCGGACCUUGCGCUAAUAGAUGAGCCUAAGUCGGAUUAGCUAGUUGGUGGGGUAAAGGCCUACCAAGGCGAUGAUCUCUAGCUGGUCUGAGAGGAUGACCAGCCACACUGGAACUGAGACACGGUCCAGACUCCUACGGGAGGCAGCAGUAG